UACAGGGGGCGCGAGCGUUGCUCGGAAUCACUGGGCGUAAAGCGUACGCAGGCGGACCGUUAAGUCGGAUGUGAAAUCCCAGGGCUCAACCCUGGAAGUGCAUUCGAUACUGGCGGUCUUGAGUACGGGAGAGGAGAGCGGAAUUCCUGGUGUAGAGGUGAAAUUCGUAGAUAUCAGGAGGAACACCGGUGGCGAAAGCGGCUCUCUGGCCCGAUACUGACGCUCAUGUACGAAAGCGUGGGGAGCAAAC
rnacentral:rRNA from 1 species